GACGAACGCUGGCGGCGUGCUUAACACAUGCAAGUCGAACGGUAAGGCCCUUUCGGGGGUACACGAGUGGCGAACGGGUGAGUAACACGUGAGUAACCUGCCCUUGACUCUGGGAUAACAUCUCGAAACAGGUGCUACUACUGGAUAUUCUGCGAUGCCUGCCUGGGUGUUGGUGGAAAGUUCCGGCGGUCAGGGUUGGACUCGCGGCCUAUCAGCUUGUUGGUGAGGUAGUGGCUCACCAAGGCUUCGACGGGUAGCCGGACUGAGAGGUUGCCCGGCCACAUUGGGACUGAGAUACGGCCCAAACGCCUACGGGAGGCAGCAGUGGGGAAUAUUGCACAAUGGACGGAAGUCUGAUGCAGCAACGCCGCGUGCGGGAUGACGGCCUUCGGGUUGUAAACCGCUUUCAUCCAUGACGAAGCGAGAGUGACGGUAGUGGGAGAAGAAGCACCGGCUAACUACGUGCCAGCCGCCGCCGUAACAC
rnacentral:rRNA from 1 species